CCAGGUCUGGACAUAGGACAUAGUACUCCAGAUGCAGCCUCGCCAGGGCAGGGAGCAUCACCUCCCUUGACCUGUUGACCACUUUUUAAUACAUCUCAGGAUAUCAUAUGCCUUCUUGGCCAUAAUUUUCAUCUCUUUUGGAGAUUUUCUUUUCAUCUCACACUCACUUGAAUAUUUGGGAUUGAGACUCUUAGAGCUGAACAAUUUAUUGAAAGUAUUGGAUGUUAUUGGAGUUCUUGGUGCUUCUUUGACAGAGAAAAUAAUCACAGUUAAUGUAUUUUUGUCUAGGUCAGUGUCAAGCAGACUUGGAUUUAGAAGAAGACAGAGUGUUUUUCUUUACAUAAGGCUGCUCAUUGCUACAGUAUUUGCAGACAGUAAAAGGACUGAUUCAAUUUGAAUAUGUCAAGAUGGAUUUAUUAUGUGAAUCUUGGGUGGUUAAUGUUCAUCCUCUCCCUUCAUAAUCAAGGCUUCAUGCAGAACAUCAUAACCCUCCUGCAGUGCUAAGGACACUGCAAGCAUAUGGAAGCCAAAUACAAAUCGAGGAUGCACUUUGAUUCAUAUGUAUCUUUUCUGAACUGACAAUUGUCCUAUCCCUGCACAAGCUGUUUGUGUUUGCCUCGACACUCAGAUCACUGAAUCCUAAAUGCGCUGCAGGUGCCACACGGUGGUGCUCCUGACUCCAUGUUGAUCAAAGGCCUGCACUGUCUGGAGGGAGUUAAAGCAGAAGCCUACCAGAACUGGCUUUUGAAGGAGGGCUAAGACUCAGUUCUGCAAAGAAGGUAAACCAUCCAGUGGAAUGAGGAAUGUACUUUUCUUGCCCAAUUGAUCUACUAAGUCAGAUAUGAAAAGAAUCACAGAAUUGCAGAAUCAUGGAAUUGAAGGGACCUCAAGAAAUCAUCGAGUCCAAACUCCCCUGCUAAAGCAGUAGAAGAUUCAUGAAGUAUCUCAGCAUCCUUCCGGAAACAGGGGCAGAUACUUUUCUCUAGGUCAAUCAUGAAUGUGAAAAGAAGAAAAGCAGAUGGAGAGGAGAUGCUUCUUCUCCAUGUCAGGAGAGGACCACACAGAAUUAAGAACAGCCAUGGUGGACCCAGACAGGAGCCUCAAUCUUGGGGGCAGCCAGCAGUGGCAUUGGUCUAAUGUCAGUUGAAAUAUCCCUUUUUCUUGCAAGUAAAACUUCAUGUUCAUCUACAUGAAGGCUAUGGCUCAGUGAAAUCAGCAAGAAUGAUUUAAUUGACUUUUGUGUCUAAUCCUGUGAACUGUAGCAUUUUGAUAGUCAUUUAUUUAGGAGUUCAGUUCACCUCUCACUGAGAAUUUCUGAAAACCUUACUGAAAAAUGGAUUGGGCAUUUAGCUGUUUAUGGGAAUCUUGCUUUUAAAUUGUGAGAAGAUAUCUUUUUAAUUAAUCCUCACAGAAAACAAUUGAAUGCUUGACCUACAAGGAUAAUUACUUGUGUUCUGCUUUGAUUAUUUUGUAAAAGUUUUAUUGGAUUUAUAUAGCGUACUGCAUAAUAUGAGAUCUAAAAUUGGAGCUCUAUAUGACAGUAUAAAAUGGGGCUUUAUACUACAGUGUACACUUUCUAGAAUUGACAACCAUGUUGUCUAUAUAAACACAUCAUUCUGUAAUUAGUCUUAUUAUUAGUAUAAUUUUUUAGGGAUUAUCUUCGCUGUCAUUGUGUGUCUUCUUUUGUAUUUUUUUCAUACAUACAAAUCUUUCAUUAAACCAUAAACUGACUAUUGCAGAAAUUAUCUAAGGCUUCAAAACUACUUUGAAUUAUUGUUCAACAUAUGGAAAAAAUCUAAUGGCAUUAUUUGAUAGAAUCCUCUGAAUCUGAGAAAGCAUGAUUAGUUCCUGACUCAUUACUCUUUCCACUGUAGUUUUUUAUCCAUACUGUGUAGUCUUUGUCAAGAGCUAAUAAUAAACAGAAUUAUUUAUGAUUAUUUAA
ensembl:lncRNA